GGGCCCGUAGCUCAGUGGUUAGAGCGGCCGGCUCAUAACCGGUUGGUCGCAGGUUCGAGUCCUGCCGGGCCCACCA
rnacentral:tRNA from 1 species